CCAAAUUACCUUUAUCUCCCGUACAAGAUCUUAAAUAUUUCUAUAUAGAUCUCCAAUAUGAAAAGCCUGGUAUUUAUUCUAUGUUUAGGAUCCGUCUGUUACGUAUCAAGCCAAAUACAUUGUGAUGAAGACCAUCCUUGCCCAAAUUUUUGUCCAGAUCAUUACCAUGAGCAGUGUGUCCGGAAGGUCUGCACGUGUCUAAAUCAUUCAUGCACAACAGCAGAACAAUGUCCAACUGGCAACAUGAUUGGUUGUCCUCCUGGAAUGGCGACUUGUAAAGACGGCCACUGCUACUGUAACAGACACUAAUCUGAAUU